AGACAAAUUUCAUUGAGAAAGAUUGACAAGUAGAUUAGAUAUAUACAGGAAAUUAGAUACUGGAAAUCAGGCUAGAUACAUUCAAAAGGGAAAAGGGUUGUACCCAGGGAGAACUGCUUUUAACAGAGGGACUUGGAAAAGGGCAGACACUUUAAUUGUUAUUAGAUGUGAAGGAUAUCUAGGGUUUAAAUUAGUCUAGCACAAAAAAAGAUUAUCUCAAUGAGAGACUGAAGUGUUAUCCCCCCAAGCCUCCCAAGAGUCCUAGAGAAAACAUUCAGAGGUCCCUCUUCAAGUUGUAGAUAGAAGCGAAAAAACAUUUGGAAACAUUCCUUGUGGAUGAUCAUAAGCUUUGGGAGAUGACCACCACAUUGACAUAGCUACCAAAGAAAAAGAUAAAGAUACUCUCUGUGCCCUGAGGGAACAAGUUGAAGUAAUUUAUGGAGUUAGG
rnacentral:lncRNA from 1 species